ensembl:lncRNA
GUGAACAUGAGUGUUCAUGCCCUGUACACUAAAUAAGUGCCCAAGAGGAACAAGUUCAACCAGCAAGGGGAUGGUUGUAAGACUAAGGGGCUGCCUUGGACCACAAUCAUUCCGGGAAAAGACAUCAGGCUACAACAAAGGAGGGAGUGCUCAGAUUCAACCAAUAAUUCUUCAAGGCUGCAAAGGCAUUCGUGGUGAAAUCCAUCAAGGAGGAAAAGAUCCUCCUGGCAGCGUAUUAGUGAUGAGUGACUACCAUAGCUAGGAGGGCAUAGUUGAGCUGAGGUGAUUCUCGUCUACCGACUCCCGUCCUCUCACUUCAAAAAGAUGACCUGACAGAGAGAAGUGAUGACAACAAGUGCAGACUCUAACUUGACAGUGUAUUUCAAAUUUUGAGCAAAUUCCAUCUGGGAGGGAAGCUGACUGCUGCCUGGGCAAAGGAAAACAAUGGGAAAAUGUAAAUAAAAAGUACAAGGAGGCUAGGGAGAAAACUAGCCCUGUGCCAAAGAAGAGGAACAAUGACCUUCUGCAUUUCCUCAGAGAGACAGGAGAAGAGGGACAAUGAGGCUCGGGAGAAAGAGGAGAAGAGGGAGGAAGAGGCUGCCAAGAGAGGUCACAAGUUCCUCUCUCUUUUUGGGAAAUGUGUAGAUAAGGUGUGAGAGUUUUGAGAGAGAUGUGAGUUAGGGUUUUAAAGUUAAAUUUUAAAGUUUAAAUGGUUCAAUUGUAAUUACGCAAGGGUUAACAUGAUCCACUGUUCCCUGUGUCUCUAUAUAGUUAGAUAUUGAUAACACCAUAACAACCAUGUAGCAAUUCAAGUGAAUUGACUUAUUAUGGUGAAUUUUGAUGCUGAACUAUAUUUGAUGUUACAAGGGCAAAACAGGAACAUGGUAAAUUCAGAGAAUUGUUGUUUACGUGUUUUACAUCACAUGUACUUCUAACCCAGCAGGGACACGGGAGGGGGGUAUGCACUCACGACUGUUAGUUGCUCUGGAUUUGAGCGUCUCGUAAAUGACUCAAAUGUAAAAUCACUACAUAAUCAGUGGGCCUCUUUAAUGUGCUCCCAGCUGACCCUCUCUUGUGUGUGGUAAUGAAUCUCAAUUGUAAUAUCCUUGAUAUCUCCCCUCCUUAUCUCCUUCUCAAAGCACAUUGGAGCAGACUAUCUGAGCUUCCUCCAAUGCGUUUUGUGAGAAGGAGGAGAGAGGAAGCGAGUAAUCAAGGAAAUUCGAUCGAGAUACAGCUGUUGUUCGCUCUGUUCUUACUCUUACAUUACAGGUGAUGGGCUGCACUUGUCUGUGUGAAGAUUCUGGGGUGCUGUUUUUUGAGCGCAAGAACUAGAAUAAAUUGAACUGACACCUUCCAUAAUUCUACAUGAGACACUCAUCUGUUCUACAUGAUGCAGCAUUGUGCCCACACUAAACACAACUCAGGGCUCUUUCUCAACCUUUUUAUCCCUGUUUUUUUCACGGUCCUUCUCAUCCAAUAGGUUUAAGAAAUGCUAUCAAUGUGCAUAAUAUCUAACACGUGUGGCAAGGGUAGGGAAA